rnacentral:rRNA from 1 species
AUGGAUGCAGACGGAGCGGGCAACGCCCCCGCCUUCCCGGUGCCGCGGCAGCAGGCCCCGUCGUCGACGACGCUGCUGUUCCCGCCUCCGACGACGCCAUUGGCGCCGUACUACUAUUCUUCAUCUUCUCCGGCGACGUCGUCCCGCCUGACGCACCACGUGACGCUGAGCCUCACCAGCCUGCCCAUCCUGGUGCUCACCGUGCUCGGCAUCCUCACCACCUCCGCGCUCCUCCUCACCUACUACGUCUUGGUCAUCCGCUGCUGCCUCACCUGGCACGCCACCACCUCCGACCACGACUCCCGCGCGCCCAGAAGCCUCGUCAUCUCCCUCACCCGCCGCCGCCAUCGCCGCAACAGCACCCCCUCCGACCACGAGCUCCCCGUGGUGCACGGGCCGGUGCCCGACGAGCCACGCACUGGGCUCGGGGAGCCGGCCAUCCGGGCGCUGCCGGCGUUCAGGUACACCAAGGCCGCCAAGGACGACGCCACCGGCGGCGACGCGAGCGAGUGCGCCGUGUGCCUCGGCGAGUUCCAGGAGGGGGAGAGGGUAAGGCUCCUGCCGGGCUGCCUCCAUGUCUUCCACGCCGAGUGCAUCGACACCUGGCUCCACGGCUGCGCCAGCUGCCCCCUCUGCCGGGCAGCCAUCACCGGCAAACAAGCUCCGUUGACAAUGGACCGGCCGCCGAGGCGAGAGGAGGUGGUCAUCCAGGUGCAGGUCGCCGGCACCGGAGAAGAAGAAGGCACACCGCAGCGAGAACACGCCACGGCGGCCUCGAAGAGCAGCACUCACUUCCAUGGAGAAUGCAGCGGCGGCGGCGGCGGCAAUGAAGCACGUUGUAGUAAGUAG